rnacentral:rRNA from 1 species
GACGACGCUGGCGGCGUGGAUUAGGCAUGCAAGUCGAACGGUAUCAUCCUUUCGGGGGUGAGAGAGUGGCGAACUGGUGAGUAACACGUAGGUUAUCUACCCUCAAGACGGGGGACAACCCAGGGAAACUUGGGCUAAUACCGGAUGUGAGCAACUUUUAGUUGUUUGAAAGGUGGCGUAAGCUGUCGCUUGGGGAUGAGCCUGCGUCCUAUUAGUUAGUUGGUGAGGUAACGGCUCACCUAGGCAAUGAUAGGUAGGCGGCCUUAACGGGUGGUCGCCCACACUGGGAUUGAGAUACGGCCCAGACUCCUACGGGAGGCAGCAGUGAGGAAUAUUGGUCAAUGGGCGCAAGCCUGAACCAGCCAUCCCGCGUGAAGGAAGAAUGCGCUACGCGUUGUAAACUUCUUUUCCAGGGGGAGAAUAAUCCUGUCGUGACAGGACUUGACGGUACUCUGGGAAUAAGCAUCGGCUAACUCCGUG